GUUCCUGCCGUGAGGGAGUUGUUCCCCUGCUGCUCCCCAGGCCUUCCACUUCAGGGAUCUCUUCAGAUAAAGGGGGUGGCUGGGGCCUGAAAUCUCAGCCCUCUCCCCCAGUGCAGAAUGGCAAGGUCCCAGCACUGACCCCAGCCAUCCAGUAGGGACAGGAAGCUCAGAAAGCAGGCUACUUGCCUCUCAGUGGCUAUGGACCUGGAGCAGAAUUGAGUGAGACGGUCCUUGUCUGCCUGCCAGUCUCCCUUCAGACCCUUCUUCACCCACUUCCACUUGUUCACCGCCUUCCCACUGCCAGCCCAGGAAGAGGGUUAGCAAAGGCUGAGCCAGCUCUGACCCAGUCUCCUCUCCCCACGUUUUGGUGGUGACCUCAUGCUGCAGAAAGUAGGGUUCUCUGAGGCCAAUGGCUGUGGGAAUGGGCAAAGAGAGAAGCUCCUGGGUACCCCAAGGCUGCAGCUCCAGCUCCUGGAGGGGUCAGUAAGAAGCAGCCAGGUCAGCCUGGAGUCCAUUGGGGCUCUCUCUGGCCCUACCUACAGCCCUGGGCAGCUUGGGUCAGGACUGAAUAUGGACAUGCAGGGCUCAGGAGCCAGCCAGGGACCUAUGGACAGCUGCGGCCUGCCCUGGGCCCAGGGCCCUUUGGGAGCCCUGACAUGAAGAGAGGCAGCAAUGGCCAGUUGGAAGCCAGUUACGCAGGCCGCUGCCCUCUUGGGAAAUGCUGAGCACCUGAGCUGUCUCCUGCCCAUUGGAGAGCCCCAAAACAGUGGGCUUUGCUGGAGCAAGGAAGGCAGGACGUUGGGGCUUGGCCUCUGAUGGUGCCUAUCCUGGGUCUCCUCUGGGCUGAAGUAUCAAUAAAUGGAAUCUGUUUCCACUUGCCUCUGUGUACCACUGCAGUGAGGGUAGCAGGGGCUGGCAACCACUACCCAGCACCCCAUUCAUUUAUUCAUUCACAAACACCAGUGUGGCUGUGUGCCAGGGGCCGUGCAUCUAGAUGGGUGACAUUGUGAAAACAAAUCAAAGACCAGUGAGGGAACCAAUCUAAGUUAGGGGACUUGUGUAUGGAAAAAAGAUACUUCAUAAUUUGUUUUAGUUUACAGUAAACUUAUUAAAGUUUUUUAAAAUUUGGUUUGUGCUUGGGGUUUUUCAUUUUGCUUUUUAGUUCGUUUUUUAAAACGAGGUCUUGGACUGGGGAUUUAGCUCAGUGGUUUCGCCGCCUGCUGCGCAAGCUCAAGGACCUGAGUUCAAUCCCUGGUACAAAAAAAAAACAAUUAGUAGAUUUUGGGGCAGGGGAUUUACCUCAGUGGUUUCACUGCCUGCCUUGCAAGCACAAGGAUCUGAGUUCAAUCCCCGGUACCAAAAAAAAAAAAAAAAGACGAGGUCUUGCUAUAUAGCCCAGGCUGGCCUCCAACUUCCAAUGAUCCUCCUGCCUCAGUCUCCUGAGUGCUGAGAUUACAGGUGUGCACCACCAUGCCCA
rnacentral:lncRNA from 1 species